CUGUGGUCUAGUUGUUACUAUCAGUGAACCGAUAUCGAUGAAUACUUGACAUUAACGAUCACUCUUUGUGUUGUGCAUUUCUAUGGGUUUUUGAAAAAAUACGUAAUGUCUGGUGUCAACCACCCAGAAGAGUCUCACUGCUCUAGUAUUCCCCUGGUUUCACCUCUAGACCCUCCCUCCUGAAGCCCCUGAUCUUUUUUACUGUCACUCUAGAUUUGCCUUUUCCCGACUGCGAUAUAGUUGUAAUCAUGAACAUUUCAUGGUGACUUGACAGUCUUUCCCAGGAAGCCAAAAGGCUCUGUUCCUCAUUUCUCUUCUGCUUCUCCCCUUUGUCUUCCUUCCUUCGUCCACCCAGGAGGAUGACUCAGCAGCAGCCUAGUUCACAGUUCUUAACUAACCAGCUCUGUGACUCUCCCUCCCUGCCCAAGUCGACCACACCUGCCUGAAUAAGUCCCUAUGUGUCCUCCUAGACCCCCCGGAGGGCCUGUCUGAGGAGCUUCCUCAUGACACGGCAGAGGAAGAGGCCCCAUCUAAUCCUAAGGUGGUCUCGGGAGUAAGUGACAACAGUACGUACUCUGGAGUCCCUCCCUUGUUGGGGAAAGAUCUAGGUGCUAAGAGAAGCGAGUCUCCCCUGCUGGCUUUCCUCUGAAGUGCCACCGCCACCACCGAUUCUGGGUUCCUGCUGGGAGCCCAGGCUGGGUAGGUGGGAAAGGAGGCUGACUCUCCAGGGAAAGAGCUGUGGCCAUUUCUCCACAAGCACUUUUGUUCCCUUUGGGAGGUGAGGGUUUGCGUGCAGUGUGGCGGGCUGUUCUCUGGGGGAAUCAGGUAGUGUGAUUGUGUGAGUACGUGUGUGUAUGUGUCUCCCUAGAUCCAGGUCCCCUCCAACAACACAGUUGCCAGCAUCAGCUUCUAAGUGACAAUUCCCAUCAUCGUUGUUUCAUGCAAUUAUCUGUGUUUCAAACUUGAUUAAAUUGUACACCAAGUACACCCCAAUAAACUUGCGGGGAAUCCCA
rnacentral:lncRNA from 12 species